rnacentral:rRNA from 1 species
GCUACUCAAGGGUGUAUGGUGGAUGGCUUGACAAAACAUGCUGAUGAAGGACGUAGCAGUCUGCGAUAAGCUUCGGUGAGGUGACAAGCAACCUUUGACCCGGAGAUGUCCGAAUGGGGAAACCCGGCUGGGGUAAUGCCCAGUCACUGUGCACUAAAUACAUAGGUGUACAGGAGGCACCCAGGGAAGUGAAACAUCUCAGUACCUGGAGGAAAAGAAAAUAACGAGUACUAUUCUCAUCUUGACGCUCGACCUAGUCGAGAAUCGAGAUGACGAAUAGUUGCUUACAUUCCCAAAGUAGUGGCGAGCGAAAUGGGAUCAGCCUAAACCAACCAAGUGAAAUACGCUGAAGUAUCUCUUCGGAGAUGUGGAUGCGAUAUGAAAGGUAACAGCCGUUGCUUGGUUGGUGUUGUAAGUCCAGAUGUGCACAUCUGUUAAUGUGCGGUAUGUAUAGAUGAUCUUUAGUGGAAUCUUCUGGAAAGAAGAACCAAAGAAGGUGAUAGUCCUGUACGCAAAAAGGAUGCAUCUACAUACGGUCUGGCACUUAAGUACGGCGGGACACGUGAAAUCCUGUCGGAAUCUGCCGCGACUAUGCGGCAAGGCUAAAUACAUGUUUUGAUCGAUAGUGUACUAGUACCGUGAGGGAAAGCUGAAAAGAACCCCGAGAGGGGAGUGAAAUAGAAUCUGAAACCAUAUACCUACAAAGAGUCGGAGCUCUGCCUUCGGGCGGGGUGACGGCGUUCCUAUUGAAGAAUGAGCCAACGAGUUCGUGUCUGUUGCAGGUUAAGUCCUUCGGGAUGGAGCCAAAGUGAAAGCAAGCCUUAACGGGCGUUUGUAUCAGACAUGAGACCCGAAACCGAGUGACCUAACCAUGGCCAGGGUGAAGCCAGUGUAAAAGCUGGUGGAGGCCCGAACCCACGUGCCGUGCAAAACACGGGGAUGAGCUGUGGUUAGCGGAGAAAUUCCAAUCGAACUCGGUAAUAGCUGGUUCUCCUCGAAAUAUGUUUAGGCAUAGCGUCGGUUAAUAGCGUGUUGGGGGUAGAGCACUGAUUGGGAUUGGCGCCUUCGGGUAGCCGUCCUAGCCAAACUCCGAAUACCAAUACGCGUUCCCGGCAGUCAGACCAUGGGGGCGAAGCUCCAUUGGUCAAAAGGGAAAGAACCCUGAUCUCAAGCUAAGGUCCCAAAGUGAUUACUAAGUGUAAAAGGUGGUGGGGAGACUUAUACAACCAGGAGGUUGGCUUAG